rnacentral:rRNA from 1 species
AUUGAACGCUGGCGGCAGGCCUAAUACAUGCAAGUCGAGCGAGCGGCGGACGGGUGAGUAAUGUCUGGGAAACUGCCUGAUGGAGGGGGUUAACUACUGGAAACGGUAGCUAAUACCGCAUACCAUCAGAUGUGCCCAGACGGGAUUAGCUAGUACGUGGGGUAAUGGCUCACCUAGGCGACGAUCCCUAGCUGGUCUGAGAGGAUGACCAGCCACACUGGAACUGAGACACGGCCCAGACUCCGACGGGAGGCAGCAGUGGGGAAUAUUGGACAAGGGGCGAAAGCCUGAUGCAGCAAUGCCGCGUGUGUGAAGAAGGCUUUCGGGUUGUAAAGCACUUUCAGCGGGGAGGCGUUACCCGCAGAGGAAGCAACGGCUAACUCCGUGCCAGCAGCCGCGGUAAUAC